GGAAAACGGUUGAUCGCGAACUUUGGAGGCGUAGGAAGUCCUAGUAAAACAGGAUACAGAAAUAGAUUCCUUUCACCGUGGCAACCAUCGGGUGGUCCACUUUAGCCGAUGCAGAAAGACAAAAAAACAGAAAACAAUGACCGACUAUGUAGCUGACAACC